rnacentral:piRNA from 1 species
GUAGACCAGGCUGACCUUGAACUA